CUUUGCCUCUGCACAGGUUUUGAUAAAUCUCCCCUUAUAUGUGGGAUUGUCAAGAAAUAUCUGACUACUGGGAGCAAGUAUUGAACAUUCUUGAAGUUUAACUCAUGGAUGGCAUUGUGUCUCAGGGCUCUUUGGAUCACUGAAAAUAAUCUAGGACACCUGUGAUUAUUUGAUUGCCAGAAUAAUAUACAAAAAAGGAGAUGAUCCGCUCACCCUUUCAGCAGCAAGUCCAAUAGUCCCAAACUGGCCAGGUGCACGGGGUGUGAUAGCCACCAUCACGGUGAAGACUGAAAGGAGCAACUCCCUGGGGGAGAAAACCAGCACUCCAGUUCCAGUCAGGGAUAAAGAAAAUGAAAUUAUGGCCACUACAACUACCAUACCGGACCUCAACAAAAGACGAGAAACUAAAAUUCCAUUAUAUUUUGAGUUACGUGAUCAGGUUACUUUAAUGGAACUUAAAUUACAGUAUGACAGUACUGAGAGAUAUACAGUGUCAUCUACUUCAACGAGACUCAGAAUCAGAAUCAAAAAUGAACAUUUUUAUCCCAUACAGUCUAGGUCCCCCCACAUGAAUUCCUUCCAACGUGUAGUUGAGAGGGAACUUUUUGAAUUGGAGAGAGCAACUGCUGCAAGUAGUUUGCCGUUUCACAUGACAAUCAGAGACCGCAAAGCAUUAAAGGAACUGCAAGAGUUCUCUGAUAUUAAAAUCAAGUCAUCUGACAAAGGUGGCUCGGUCGUCGUGUUGGACCGUGAACUACUGUAGAUUGUAAACAGGUGUGGGAUAUGUUCAGCGACAGCACCACAUAUCGUAAACUUAAUUCUGACUCCACUACUGACAUACAAAAUAAAUCAAACACUAGAGUUUUUUUUCACGUAAGAUGGAGGAGUCACUUUUUGUUUCAGAACCAACCAUGUCCAAUCUUCCAUUGUCUACAUAAGAUACACAAAAAUAUAUUCCCUCCCCCUCUCCGCCCAAUAGUUUUGGGCAUUGGCUCAAUGAGAAGCUCUCGAUGUGGUUGGAUAGUCUAUUACAACUGCUAGUCACCAGAGUCCCUCAGUACAUACAAGACACCAAAGAUCUUUUGGUGUCUUUUAAGGAUUUCAAAUGGGAAGCUGAUAUGACAUGUAUUUCAUGUGAUGUUGCUUCUUUCUAUAGUGUCAUACCCCAUGACUGUGCCCUUAUGGCACUUUAGUACCAUUUCAAUACUUAUAGUAAUUACAACUCUGAUCUCAAAAACUGCAUAUUAGAUGUCACGUAUCUUUUACAUACCAAUAAUUAUUUUUCGUUUUAUGGAUCUUUCCUCCUUCAGGUCAGGGGUUGUCCGAUGGGGGUCCCUCUUUGGCCAACCUCUACAUAGCCUAAUGGGAGGAAAGAUCCAUCCACACCACAGCCAAUCCCUUUCUACGCCACAUCGCGUGGUAUGGACAAUAUAUUAAUGAUAUAAUUGCGGUGUGGCGGGGACCGAGUGACCAUCAUACCAUCUCUUCCUUUACACAGUAUCUUAACAACAAUACAGACAAUUUAUUUAUCACAUAUAAUUCCCACCCAAAUGAAAUGAUUUUUUGGAAUGUUUGUUUUCUUUUUGUUUGUUUUAAAAAAAAAUGGCUAUUAAACAUACCGGUAUAGUCAGUAUAAAAGGAUACACAAAAAUUGUACUAAUCAUGCAAAUUUUAAAAUACAGUCUACAACUCUACAAGAACGCUUCAAAGAGAAACAUUAUCCCACUAAAGUAUUAAGUAACGCUUACCACCGUACCAAAAUACUCACUCAGGAAGAUUGUUUGGUGACCAGCUUCAAGCAGAAAGAUGAAGACAAAGAAAAAGCUUCAUUUUCAGCCCCUUUCAUUACUACCUACAGCAAUGAUGCCCGUCUCAUCAGAAGAAUAGUCACACGCCAUUGGCGUGUAUUACAAAUAGAUCCUCAUUUUUCCAAAACUAUCCCCCAGCAACCUCAGUUAAUGUACAGAAAAUUGGCAUCACUGAAGUCUAUUCUGGCCCCAAGCCAGAUUAGGAGACAGCAGAAUAAAGACAUCACUCACACUGAUCUUCUAGGGAGACCGCUCAAAAAAGGGAGCUACAAGUGCAAGAAGGCCCAUUGCCUUUGCAGUCGGCAGAUCUCCAAUGGCUUGUCAAAUUUUACUUCCUCAUUGACAGGUAAGAAUUUUCCUAAAAAAUUUCAUCUUACUUGAUCAUGUCAUUUACAUGAUCCAGUGUCCCGAUUGUCCACUACAGUAUGUAGGAUGCACCACUCAUCCUCUUCCUCUCAGAUUGAACCAGCACAGACAAAACUUAAAAAAGAAGUUUUUGCUCCACGGAGUUUCCAAACAUGUCACUAUAUCACAUCCAAACAGUGUAAAGCCAAUUUCAAUUACACCCAUUGAUCACGUACCGGCUUCAACAAACAACAGAUUUGAACAGCUGAAGAGACUGGAAAUGUUCUGGAUGUAUAAGAUGCACACGUUAUCCACGUUAUCUCCCCAUGGUCUCAAUGAGAUGAGAGAAAUUAUCACAUGAACACCAACACUCACAUUUGCUAUACUUUGUUAAUACAUCAUGGCCUCCCACUACUGACAAUCUAAUUGAUGAUCUAAUUGAUUGUAACAACUAUACAUACCUGUAUACGGCAUCACUCUUUUCAUGUCCUUUGUGCAUGUCUUCCGCAGUCCAGACCCAUGAUACGUUGUCCUAUUUUUGGAUCCAUUUACUAUUCAACAUCAUCUCUACUGAGCAGGUCUCUCAAUACAAAUAUGCAUCACUGUCCCUUUCUUUACGCACCAUCUUGCAACCACUGUAUCUGGAGGCUCAUGAGAUACGCCCCAAACCAUACUACGGUACUCCACAAUCAUAUGUAUAUAUAUAUAUAUAUAUAUAUAUAUAU